GAAAUGCGAUAAGUAAUGUGAAUUGCAGAAUUCAGUGAAUCAUCGAAUCUUUGAACGCACAUUGCGCUCGCCAGUAUUCUGGCGAGCAUGCCUGUUCGAGCGUCAUCUCAACCAUCAAGCUCUGCUUGCGUUGGGGAUCCGCGGCUGCCCGCGGUCCCUCAAAAACAGUGGCGGGCUCGCUAGUCACACCGAGCGUAGUAACUCUACAUCGCUAUGGUCGUGCGGCGGGUUCUUGCCGUAAAACCCCCAAUUUCUAAGGUUGACCUCGGAUCAGGUAGGAAUACCCGCUGAACUUAAGC
rnacentral:misc_RNA from 1 species